rnacentral:rRNA from 1 species
AAAAGAAGUGGGUAGUUUAACCUUUCGGGGAGGACGCUCACCACUUUGUGGUUCAUGACUGGGGUGAAGUCGUAACAAGGUAGCCCUAGGGGAACCUGGGGCUGGAUCACCUCCUUA